rnacentral:rRNA from 1 species
UACGGGGGGGGCAAGCGUUGUUCGGAAUUACUGGGCGUAAAGGGCUCGUAGGUGGCCAACUAAGUCUGAUGUGAAAGCCCUGGGCUCAACCUGGGAAUGGCAUUGGAAACUGGCGACCUAGAGUGCGGUAGAGGGUAGUGGAAUUCCCGGUGUAGCAGUGAAAUGCGUAGAGAUCGGGAGGAACAUCUGUGGCGAAGGCGACUGCCUGGACCAGCACUGACACUGAGGCACGAAAGCGUGGGGAGCAAACAGG